GUGAGGAAUAUUGCGCAAUGGAGGCAACUCUGACGCAGCCAUGCCGCGUGCAGGAAGAAGGCGCUACGCGUUGUAAACUGCUUUUAACCGGGAAGAAACCCCAGGACGUGUCCUGGGUUGACGGUACCGGAGGAAUAAGCACCGGCUAACUUCGUGCCAGCAGCCGCGGUAAUACGAAGGGUGCUAGCGUUAUCCGGAUUCAUUGGGUUUAAAGGGUGCGUAGGCGGAGCGUUAAGUCAGUGGUGAAAUCCUGCAGCUUAACUGUAGACUUGCCAUUGAUACUGGCGCUCUUGAGUGCGCUUGAAGUGGGCGGAAUGUGCCGUGUAGCGGUGAAAUGCUUAGAUAUGGCACAGAACACCAAUUGCGAAGGCAGCUCACUAAGGCGAUACUGACGCUGAGGCACGAAAGCGUGGGGAUCGAACAGGAUUAGAUACCCGAGUAGUCC
rnacentral:rRNA from 1 species